CAUAGCUUCUUGAAACCUUUGGAAGUGCCGUCUGCCCGGUGAACUUUAUUGUUUAAACGGCCGCAUAUGUGCUAAGGUAGCAUAAUAAUUUGUCUUUUAAUUGAGGACUAGUAUGAAAGGCAUAACGAAGCCCAACUGUCUCUCCCAAUCUUAAAUUUAAAUUGAUUUAGAAGUGAAAAAUCUUCUAUAACACUAGAGGACGAGAAGACCCUGUAGAGUUUUAGUAUAAGAAGUAUAAACAACACUUCAGUACUUUUAUUGGGGCAAUAGAGGAACAAAAAAAAUCCUCCUAAUUUUAAUAAUAUAUUAGAAAAGAUCCUCAAAGAGAAUAAGAAAAACUACCUGAGGGAUAACAGCGUAAUUCUCCCGAAGAGAUCUAAUCGAGGGGAGAGUUUGCGACCUCGAUGUUGGACUAAGGUUACCUUAAGGUGCAGCAGCCUUUGAGGUGGGCCUGUUCGGCCCUUUAU
rnacentral:rRNA from 1 species